rnacentral:rRNA from 1 species
UACGGAGGGGGCUAGCGUUGUUCGGAAUUACUGGGCGUAAAGCGCGCGUAGGCGGACCUGCAAGUCGGGGGUGAAAGCCCGAGGCUCAACCUCGGAACUGCCUUCGAUACUGCGGGUCUCGAGUCCGGGGAGAGGUGAGUGGAAUUCCCUAGUGUAGAGGUGAAAUGCGCAGAUAUCGGGAAGAACACCUAUGGCGAAGGCAGCUCGCUGGGACGUGACUGACGCUGAGACGCGAAAGCGUGGGGAGCAAACAGG